UGCAUGAGUGUGAAGGUCAGAGGCCA
rnacentral:piRNA from 1 species